rnacentral:misc_RNA from 1 species
CAACCCUCAAGCAUUGCUUGGUAUUGGACUUCGCUGCUCACGUAGCGGGCCUUAAAAUCAGUGGCGGUGCCGUCGGGCUCCUGAGCGCAGUAAAUAUCCUCGCUACAGGGACUCGGUGGACGCUGGCCAUCAACCCCCCACUCUCUCA